rnacentral:rRNA from 1 species
GUAUAAGAGACAGCAGCCGCCACGGUAAUACGUAGGUGGCAAGCGUUGUCCGGAUUUAUUGGGCGUAAAGCGAGCGCAGGCGGUCAAUUAAGUCUGAUGUGAAAGCCCCCGGCUCAACCGGGGAGGGUCAUUGGAAACUGGUUGACUUGAGUGCAGAAGAGGAGAGUGGAAUUCCAUGUGUAGCGGUGAAAUGCGUAGAUAUUCGGAGGAACACCAGUGGCGAAGGCGGCUCACUGAUCCAUUACUGACGCUGAGGUGCGAAAGCGUGGGGAGCAAACAGGAUUAGAUACCCGGGUAGUCCCUGUCUCUUAUAC